rnacentral:rRNA from 1 species
CAGUCGCCGCGGGAAUACGAAGGUCCCGAGCGUUGUUCGGAAUCACUGGGCGUAAAGGGAGCGUAGGCGGCGUGGUAAGUCAGAUGUGAAAUCCCGGGGCUCAACCCCGGAACUGCAUCCGAUACUGCCAUGCUAGAGGAUUGGAGAGGUAGCUGGAAUUCUUGGUGUAGCAGUGAAAUGCGUGGAGAUCAAGAGGAACACUCGUGGCGAAAGCGAGCUACUGGACAAUAACUGACGCUGAGGCUCGAAGGCCAGGGUAGCGAAAGGGAUUAGAUACCCGUGUAGUCCCUGUCUCUUAUAC